rnacentral:rRNA from 1 species
CCUACGGGAGGCAGCAGUGGGGAAUAUUGGACAAUGGGCGCAAGCCUGAUCCAGCCAUACCGCGUGUGUGAAGAAGGCCCUAGGGUUGUAAAGCACUUUAAGUUGGGAAGAAAAGUUAUUGGCUAAUACCCAAUGACCGUGACAUUACCUUCAGAAUAAGGACCGGCUAAUUCCGUGCCAGCAGCCGCGGUAAUACGGAAGGUCCAAGCGUUAAUCGGAAUUACUGGGCGUAAAGCGCGCGUAGGUGGUUUAUUAAGUUGGAUGUGAAAUCCCCGGGCUCAACCUGGGAACUGCAUCCAAAACUGAUUCACUAGAGUACGAUAGAGGGAGGUAGAAUUCACAGUGUAGCGGUGGAAUGCGUAGAUAUUGUGAAGAAUACCAAUGGCGAAGGCAGCCUCCUGGAUCUGUACUGACACUGAGGUGCGAAAGCGUGGGUAGCGAACAGGAUUAGAUACCCUGGUAGUCCACGCCGUAAACGAUGUCAACUAGCUGUUGGGGAACUAUGUUCUUCAGUGGCGCAGCUAACGUAGUAAGUUGACCGCCUGGGGAGUACGGCCGCAAGGCUAAAACUCAAAGGAAUUGACGG